rnacentral:SRP_RNA from 1 species
CCGUGCUAGGCGGGGAGGUAGCGGUGCCCUGCACCCGCAAUCCGCUCUAGCGGGGCCGAAUCCCCGUCCGAGGGGUUGGGCCUCGGGGCCAGUACGCCAGUUCGAGGCGUCGAUGGUCAGGUCCCGCGCGGUGAGCGCUCGCGAACCAGGUCAGAUCCGGGAGGAAGCAGCCUUAAGCGAUACCGCUCACGCGCCGCGGGGAAGCCUGACCGGAGCCAACCGCCGACGCGAACGCCCGGGAUCCUUCUUCGACGGCGGGUGCACGG